rnacentral:rRNA from 1 species
GACAGAGGUGCCGAGCGUUAGGCGGAAUCACUGGGCUUAAAGCGUGUGUAGGUGGAUGUCUAAGUACCUUGUGAAAUCCCACGGCUUAACCGUGGGACGGCUCGGUAUACUGGAUGUCUUGAGCCAGCUAGGGGCUACCGGAACAAAUGGUGGAGCGGUGAAAUGCGUAGAUAUCAUUUGGAACGCCAAUGGUGAAAACAGGUAGCUGGGGCUGUGCUGACACUGAGACACGAAAGCCAGGGGAGCGAACGGG